rnacentral:rRNA from 1 species
UGGGGAAUCUUGCGCAAUGCGCGAAAGCGUGACGCAGCAACGCCGCGUGAGGGAAGAAGGCCUUCGGGUUGUAAACCUCUUUCAGGAGGGACGAAGGUUCAGGCGCGAACAGCGUCCUGGACUGACGGUACCUCCAGAAGAAGCCCCGGCUAACUACGUGCCAGCAGCCGCGGUAAUACGUAGGGGGCUAGCGUUGUCCGGAAUCAUUGGGCGUAAAGCGCGCGUAGGCGGCCCGGUAAGUCCGCUGUAAAAGUCAAAGGCUCAACCUUUGAAUGUCAGUGGAUACUGCCGGGCUAGAGUCCGGAAGAGGCGAGUGGAAUUCCUGGUGUAGCGGUGGAAUGCGCAGAUAUCAGGGGGAACACCAACGGCGAAGGCAGCUCGCUGGGACGGUACUGACGCUGAGGCGCGAAAGCGUGGGGAGCAAACAGGAUUAGAUACCCUGGUAGUCCACGCCGUAAACGAUGGGCACUAGGUGUGGGAGGUGUCGACUCCUCCCGUG